CAGAAUCUUAAGAGCCCUAUAGCUAACUGGAAGACAAUGUAGGGACUGACAGAGGGGAGAGGUGUGGGAGGACAGGAAAAUGAGCUUCGCCGCCACAUACGUUAUAGAUUGCAGCGGUGCAAGCUGGAAACACGUAAGACCACUGAGAAGGGGAUUGCAGUAGUCAAGGCAAAAGAGAACAACGGCAUGGACCGGCACCUUGAUAGCGUCUGGUGUUAAACAGGGG